AAUUAUUUAGUGCUUUAAAUUUAUUUUCAAAAUUAAUUUACUAUUUGUUAUAAUUUUAAAAGGAAAAAAUUGGCUAUUUAAAUAAUAGCCCAAUUGCAUUUCAAUUAUAGCAUUAAUAUGACCCCAAAUUAAACCCGAUUGUGCGGCACAAUUAUAUUUUAAACCCGACCCCUAACCCAAAUAAUCCUACCCAACCCGGAUCCCCUACCUACCCUCUUUAAUCCGGGUCGUUGAUCAUUCAAAUCAACGACCAAUAUUCGCCCUUACCAUUUUUAACCCUGAAAGACCCCUAAGCCUAAUUCAUUUUACACCACCCACUGUCUCUGAAUCUUUUCCCUCUCAAUUCUCUCUACAACCUCUCUUGAACCCUAAUCCGCCUUAACCCCUACCUAAUCCAUGGCCUCUCAUGGCCAUUGGAGAUGUGUAUCAGCCUCCUAUGGCUCCUGGGUGUUUGUUUCUGUGGUUUAUGGCCAGACCUCGAAGGGAUAUGGUCCAAUCCUUGCUCGACUUCUGUUCAUGGCCUUUUUUCGGCCAUCCAUGACAUUUCUCCGGCCAUUCAUGGCUUUUCAAGGCAGAUCCUUGACUUCCUAGUUAGGUCGAUAACUUUCAAGGUCUUUCUCACCUUUUCUGGAUUUUUCGAAACACUAAUCAUUAAGAUUUUUCAAUUUUCUUUUACUAUGAAUUUUUUAACUGUUUUCUCGACGGUUGUUCAACUUUUCUUUCAAAAUGACUCUUCAUUUUUCAACGAUUGGGGGUUUCUCUAAUCUUCUUUUAAAGAUCUUUUCUCUGGUUUUAAUGUUGUUUAUGGUUUUGCUAUGUUUAAAACGAUUUGUUCAUAUUGUUCUUCUAUCUAUUUCAGCAUGUUAAACCCCUAGUUCCUUUUAAUCUUAUCAGAGUUAUGAAACUAUUUGUUUAAAUGUGUACUUGUUUUUUGUUUCUAACUCUCUUUCCUUGUUUGACUUGUUUGAUUUUGAGUUCUUAUCAUAUCUUAAACUCGAUUACUGUUGAAGCCUUAAUUUCUGAAAAUGGGUUUUUCUCACUUAUUACUGUGAGACCUUUACUUGUUUCUGAUUUCUCUUACCUAAUUCUAUGUACUUCUUCACUGUUGAUUCUAUGUGACCACUUGACCUACUUGAUUAGUGUGUUUCAAAUAUCUUUCUUAAUACUGAAUCUUAGCUUAUUUUUGCCACUACUAUAUGUUUGUGUUGCUUCAUUUUGUCAACAAGUUUAACUCCACAUGCUUGUUCAUCCCUUGCUAUUUAUAUGGUGAAGUGCAUAAUCAUGGUCCUUUCUUGAUUGAUCUUGAUUUCCUCAAUCUUUCGACUAAUUGUAAAAGGUUUUCUUACGAGCCCUAAUUUAUACUCAUCUGUUUAAAAUUAAUUGAUUCUUUUCCUUAAAUGUGUUAUUUUACUUGCUGAACCCAAAAUAAGCCUAUUUUGUACUUCGACGUGUUUAUUUACUUCAUGCUUUUACUGUCCCUUAUAUGGCAAUAAUCAAUCUGUAUCAAGCUGAUUUCUUUCCUUAAUUAAUCAAUGUUAGUAUCCGUUAAACAAUAAUUUCUUAAUUAAAGGGAAUUACUUAUGUUAAUUGCUUCUGAUUGAGAUUAAUUUCCAUGUUUGUGUUAAGACUUUACUUAUUACUUUACUUUUCACUCGUUUUCAAAAAACUAUAAAUAUCAUGCACCAUGUUUCUUUCAAACAAACGAACAAUUUGAGUUCAAGAACACACUUUCACUCAAAAAUUUCUCUCUUUUCUCUACUAUUACUUGUUCUACUGCUCUGUCUAGCCGGCUGAAAGCCAAGGCUUAGACUGUGGAAUCUUGCUUAUUUCUUUCAUUCUGCACUUUUCUUCUCUACUGGUAUGUCCUAGUUAAUUCUCAAGCAUCAACAACAACAUGAAUCUUUAGCUGUUCAGUUUCUUUCACUCUUGCCUACUUCUACAUAUGUUUAUGCAGUCAAAUUACACUACCAGCAUGCUGUAAUAUGCUCCCCCCCCCCC
rnacentral:lncRNA from 1 species